UACGUAGGGGGCAAGCGUUAUCCGGAUUUACUGGGUGUAAAGGGUGCGUAGACGGUGUGGCAAGUCUGAAGUGAAAGGCAUGAGCUCAACUCAUGGACUGCUUUGGAAACUGUCAUACUUGAGUGCAGGAGGGGUAAGCGGAAUUCCCAGUGUAGCGGUGAAAUGCUUAGAUAUUGGGAGGAACACCGGCGGCGAAGGCGGCUUACUGGACUGCAACUGACGUUGAGGCACGAAAGCGUGGGGAGCAAAC
rnacentral:rRNA from 1 species